GAAAUGAGUCUGCCUCGACCCAACUUCCACUCUAAAUGGUGAAUUGAUGCUCAUUUCCCAAAAGGGCUGACUUAUGAGAGAAAAGAGAAGUCAACAAGGUCUUGUCUCUGCAUUGUUUGAGGUGACUACAUCUCAACCAAAUGGUAACAAUUGUAGAAUGGGGAUGGGUGUGGUGCACAAAGAACCAUCUCAUCAAUGGUGUUGAAACUGCAUUAACAUGGAGAGAUAGGGAGAACAGCUGGGUCAACAGCCAAGGAGCAACUUCAUUAACAUCUAAAGGCAACAUCAAAAACAGUAUAAAGGUUUGAGUUUAAGAAUGUUCAGGGUUCAUUCUGACUCCGGUGAACCCAAGGUACUGCCAUGUAUUUUGAGACUGCUAUGCUGAAUAAACAUCUUCAUUGAGAUUUUCUUCGUCAUCAUCAUUUUUUCUUACACUGGCGAGUCAUCCAGCGAGGACUUCCAAAACAACAAAGGAGAGAAAGAUUGAAAGGUGUGGUGAAAGAUGAUCCAGUCAUGGGUGAGACAGGCCAGUAUGACCACGAGGAGAUUAUGCAAAGAACAAGGUUCUUCAAGAGAACAGAGAGAUCCAGAACCCCAGGCCCAGUAUUGAUCAGAACUUUCAAGCCCGGAUGAGAGCCAGAAACCAAAAAAACCUUGAUCACAGAAACCAAACAGAGAUCCAAAGCUCCAGGUCCAGCAUCAAUUAGAAUUGUCAAGACCCAGAUUACAUCUAGAAACUCAGAGAUGGUGAAGAUAAUCAAGAAACCAAGAGAUGCCAAUGAGAUUAAGAACCAAGAGAUGUUGGGAUGCUGAUGAAGUUCUAGAAACCCAGAGACACAGAAAAGUUGGAACAGCACAAAUGGAAUACCAGUGACUGCUUUUUCAAGUGAGAUUUGUUGUCCAGAUGGAAGAGACUGAACAGUGGAUAAGAAAAAGAGAAGAUAAAACCAUUUUUAGAAACUUGGAAGUUAAUGAAAACAAAUGGUAAAAAUACGGACCCACAUUGAAGGCCAAAAGCCUAAGGCCACAGACUGACAUAUGAAGAAACGAAUACAUACAUACAUGCAUACAUACAUGCAUACAUACAUACAUACAUACAUACAUACAUACAUACAUACAUACAUACAUACAUACAUACAGAUAGAUUAUAUAUUGCUGUACAACAAAUGCAAAAGUGUGGAUGUCAUCAGUAUGUCCACACUGGGAAAAAAAAAAAAAAAAAAGGUUGCAUACGGUAAUGUAGAGCAUAUGUUACUGUCCUUGAAUGCACACUUGGAUAAAAAUGUCCAUGCUGAAAAAAAGUGGACACAAUGUGUUUAAAAAAAAAAAAAAAACACAGGAAACUUUUCACAAACAAAUGUUUGUUGUGUAGGGAGUGUACAUUUGUUAUCUAGUGGAUGCGAAUGUGGUGUAGUUAAUAUGAAUGUUUAAUGAUUCUAAUGUUUGAUUUUAAUGUGGAUUUUAAUGAGGAUGUUAACACUGUCGACACAUAAAAAAAAUAAGAAAAAAAGGGAAAUGCUUGCACUCACAAAUACUUGUUGUGUAGUAAAUGUUCAUGUGGUGUAGUUAAUGCAAUGUUUAAUGUUUUUAUGGUGUGAUUUUUCAAUGUGGAUUUCACUUGGAUUUUAAUGAGGAUUUGUACGCUGAUAAAAUAGACACAGUGAGAAAAAAAAGAACAAUGCUUGCAAAAAAUGGACAAUACUAUGCAAUGGUUGUCCAUAUGAAAAAAAUGUACAUGCUAAGAAAAUGAACGAGAAGAAACGAUACUUGCAUACAAGCAUGCAGACACACAAGUACGCACGCACGCACACACUCACACACACACACACAAUUUUCUCUAUUGAUUGAUGUUCUUGCUCCUUUGGCUUUUGGCUGUAGUACUUUUUAGACUGAUACAGUAGAACAUUAGAUGUCAUGGUUCUCAUGUGCUCCUGUCCUAAACCCAAGAAAUUACUUAUAUUUUAUAGUUCCAAAUUUGAAGAAGAGACUAUGACAACUUGCCUAAUUGGAUGGAGCAAUAACCAGUGUGCAUGAGGUGAUGACCCCAAGACGGGUAAGAUUCUUUGGUGCCCAGCCAAGAACAACCUAAGCCAGGGCUUUACCGCCACUGGGCACCUGCCCAUGAAGGGAGGUGUAAUGUGUGAAAGAGUGGUUGUGAUGCUUCUUUCUGGGCCAAAGAGCAUCAGAGAGGGGACUGUAAGAAAUGAGUCUGCCUCGACCCAACUUCCACUCUAAAUGGUGAAUUGAUGCUCAUUUCCCAAAAGGGCUGACUUAUGAGAGAAAAGAGAAGUCAACAAGGUCUUGUCUCUGCAUUGUUUGAGGUGACUACAUCUCAACCAAAUGGUAACAAUUGUAGAAUGGGGAUGGGUGUGGUGCACAAAGAACCAUCUCAUCAAUGGUGUUGAAACUGCAUUAACAUGGAGAGAUAGGGAGAACAGCUGGGUCAACAGCCAAGGAGCAACUUCAUUAACAUCUAAAGGCAACAUCAAAAACAGUAUAAAGGUUUGAGUUUAAGAAUGUUCAGGGUUCAUUCUGACUCCGGUGAACCCAAGGUACUGCCAUGUAUUUUGAGACUGCUAUGCUGAAUAAACAUCUUCAUUGAGA